rnacentral:rRNA from 1 species
UACGUAGGGUGCGAGCGUUAAUCGGAAUUACUGGGCGUAAAGCGUGCGCAGGCGGUUCGACAAGUCCGAUGUGAAAGCCCCGGGCUCAACCUGGGAAUGGCAUUGGAAACUGGCGAGCUUGAGUGUGGCAGAGGGGGGUGGAAUUCCGCGUGUAGCAGUGAAAUGCGUAGAUAUUUGGAGGAACACCAAUGGCGAAGGCAGCCCCCUGGGUUAACACUGACGCUCAUGCACGAAAGCGUGGGGAGCAAACAGG